AGCCGGCGCCGCGGACACUCCCGGGAGCAUGAAGGACCGAACCCAAGAGCUUCGCACGGCUAAGGACAGCGAUGACGACGAUGAUGUCACUGUCACCGUGGACCGAGACCGCUUCAUGGAUGAGUUCUUCGAACAGGUGGAAGAGAUCCGAGGCUUCAUUGACAAGAUCUCUGAGAAUGUGGAGGAGGUGAAACGGAAGCACAGCGCCAUCCUGGCCUCCCCCAACCCUGAUGAGAAGACGAAGGAGGAGCUGGAAGAACUCAUGUCCGACAUAAAGAAGACAGCAAACAAAGUGCGCUCCAAGUUGAAGAGCAUCGAGCAGAGCAUUGAGCAGGAGGAAGGCCUGAACCGCUCAUCCGCUGACCUGAGGAUCCGGAAGACACAGCACUCCACACUGUCCCGAAAAUUUGUGGAAGUCAUGUCUGAGUACAAUGCGACACAAUCUGACUACAGGGAGCGCUGCAAGGGCCGAAUCCAGAGGCAGCUGGAGAUCACUGGCCGGACCACGACCAGCGAGGAGCUGGAGGACAUGCUGGAGAGUGGGAACCCAGCUAUCUUUGCCUCUGGGAUCAUCAUGGAUUCCAGCAUUUCGAAGCAGGCCCUGAGCGAAAUUGAGACUCGACACAGUGAGAUCAUUAAGCUGGAGAACAGCAUCCGAGAGCUGCAUGACAUGUUCAUGGACAUGGCCAUGCUUGUGGAGAGCCAGGGCACUUUCCUGAAGUCCUGUCCCAAGCCCCCUCUGGACCCUGAGGAGGGCCCUCUGGAGCUCGCAUGCUCCUGGCCCCACAGGGGGAGAUGAUUGACAGGAUCGAGUACAACGUGGAGCACUCCGUGGACUACGUGGAAAGAGCCGUGUCUGACACCAAGAAGGCCGUCAAGUACCAGAGCAAGGCACGUCGGAAGAAGAUCAUGAUCAUCAUCUGCUGUGUGGUCCUGGGCAUUGUCAUUGCCUCCAUCUUUGGAGGUAUCUUCGGAUAGAAACUACUCCACUUGCCACUCUACUCUGGAUGGUCCACCCUAAGGAAGCCCCCUGGCUGCUGACGCCCUUCGGCUCGGAACCUCUCCUUCCCACCCCACACUGCUCCUUUCUGUCACGGGGCCCUCCAUACCCACCCUGCCCUGAGCCGUCGUGUGCAUGAUCUUUGUAACAGUGUGCGUCUGUACAAGAGAGGUAGAGGGGAGCCAAGCUGGGAAACAGCCAGUGGGGCAGGGACAGGUCAGCAAGGGACAGACUCAGGCCCUGGCCCAGGCUGCCUCACCCUUCCUAGGCCUCUAGUAAUUCCACUGUUAAACUGAGGGGUCUGCCCUCUCUGGGUGUCAAGAUCCUCUGGACUCUAACCUUGCCUCCUACUGACGCACUCACCUGCCCUGUCUUCUCCAGCUGUCCCCCUAAACCCAGCCCCCUGAGGGGUGGGGACCAGCUGGCCACAUGGUGCUGCUUUUCAGGUUAGGGGAGGGAUGGCCCAGAGAGACAGCCCAGCUCUAAGCCUCUUAACAGCCAAUCACUGCCAGGGAGGCUCAGGGUGCUGUGGCCAGAUGGCUUCUGGCCAUGUCAAGACCAGGCUCCCUCCCCUACCUAUGGGCAGAGUCCAAUAGGUCUUCAGCUGCCUCAACCUCCCUUCCCACAUUCCUAGAGUACCAGAAGCAACCUGGCCUCUGCCUGACCCCAGAUCACAUCCUGGAAGAGGCUGGCUGGUAUCUGGUCUCCAGCUACCCUUGGAGCUAGAGAGGCAGAGCAGGCCCCAGUCAGGCCAAGCCCACAAACCUGGGCCAGCCAUUCUCCUCAGCAGGCCUUUGUUAGGUCCUCAAGCCAUUGUGUUGCAUGUUUGGGACAGUGGUCCCUGCUCUCUUGUGCUCUGGGAAGUCAGGUGUCACUUCAGGCCUGCAAUCACGUCCUUCCCUUGCUCGUCCCUCAUUGAUGUGCCACAUGUCAGAUGUCUUGGAUGCAGUAUUCAGCAGCUAGCCAGGGAGAGGUACCUCCCUCCCCACCAUCUUGGGGCUUUUCAAGUCAGAAACAUGCCCCCACUUCAAGACCCUUCUCUUCCUCGUUGACAGGCAAGGAGUGUGCAUGCAAGUGCAUGCAAUAGGGAGUGGGGCCAAGUCUGAGCCUCACUUCCCUCAGCUUUGCUCCUGCCCAGUGACUGACCACUGUCCGUGUUGCCUUCUUUAAUGACUUCCCUGCCCUCCUUUACCCCUUCACCAAAGGUCUUGGUACAACCAGCUGCCCAUUUUGUGAAA